AUUGAACGCUGGCGGCAUGCCUUACACAUGCAAGUCGAACGGCAGCACGGGAGCAAUCCUGGUGGCGAGUGGCGAACGGGUGAGUAAUGUAUCGGAACGUACCAUUGAGUGGGGGAUAACGUAGCGAAAGUUACGCUAAUACCGCAUAUACCCUGAGGGGGAAAGCAGGGGAUCGCAAGACCUUGUGCUCUUUGAGCGGCCGAUAUCAGAUUAGCUAGUUGGUGAGGUAAAGGCUCACCAAGGCGACGAUCUGUAGCGGGUCUGAGAGGAUGUACCGACACACUGGAACUGAGACCCGGUCCAGACGCCUACGGGAGGCAGCAGUGGGGAAGUUUGGACAAUGGGGGCAACCCUGAUCCAGCCAUGCCGCGUGAGUGAAGAAGGCCUUCGGGUUGUAAAGCUCUUUCGGUCGGGAGGAAAUCGCAUCAGCUAAUACCUGGUGUGGAUGACAGUACCGGAAUAAGAAGCACCGGCUAACUACGUGCCAGCAGCCGCAGUAAAAC
rnacentral:rRNA from 1 species